rnacentral:rRNA from 1 species
AUUGAACGCUGGCGGCAGGCUUAACACAUGCAAGUCGAACGAGUGGCGGACGGGAGAGUAAUGCGUGGGAAUCUAGCUUAUGGAGGGGGAUAACUACGGGAAACGGGAGCUAAUAACGCGUACCAUAGGAUGAGCCAAAAUGGGAUUAGGUAGUUGGGGCGGUCAAGGCUCACCAAGCCGCAGAUCUCGAGCUGGUCUGAGAGGAUGACCACCCACACGGGGACUGAGCCACGGCCCAGACUCCUACGGGAGGCAGCAGUGGGGAAUAUUGCGCAAUGGGGGCAACCUGACGCCGCCAUGCCGCGUGAAUGAAGAAUGUCUUCGGGUUGUAAAGUUCUUUCGGUAGCGAGGCGUUAACUACAGAAGAAGCACCGGCUAACUCCGUGCCAGCAGCCGCGGUAAUUC